AAUAGAUACCCAGGUAGUCCAUGCCGUAAACGAUGAGUGCUAAGUGUUAGGGGGUUUCCGCCCCUUAGUGCUGCAGCUAACGCAUUAAGCACUCCGCCUGGGGAGUACGACCGCAAGGUUGAAACUCAAAGGAAUUGACGGGGGCCCGCACAAGCGGUGGAGCAUGUGGUUUAAUUCGAAGCAACGCGAAGAACCUUACCAGGUCUUGACAUCCCAGUGACCACUCUAGAGAUAGAGUUUUCCCUUCGGGGACAUUGGUGACAGGUGGUGCAUGGUUGUCGUCAGCUCGUGUCGUGAGAUGUUGGGUUAAGUCCCGCAACGAGCGCAACCCUUGAUCUUAGUUGCCAUCAUUUAGUUGGGCACUCUAAGGUGACUGCCGGUGACAAACCGGAGGAAGGUGGGGAUGACGUCAAAUCAUCAUGCCCCUUAUGACCUGGGCUACACACGUGCUACAAUGGACGGUACAAAGAGUCGCUAACUCGCGAGAGUACGCUAAUCUCAUAAAACCGUUCUCAGUUCGGA
rnacentral:rRNA from 1 species